rnacentral:lncRNA from 1 species
CCAUUAUUUCAAUUUUCCUUUUCCCUAAUCCUCUUUAUCAAAGUUAAAUCAGAAAACCAACUUUUGGUCCUGGUAUCUGUAUUGCUCCAUCCUUACGGAAAAUUUUAAUAAAUAACAGAAGGACUAAAUGUAAAAUAAAAAGUGGUGAUAACACCAGUGAGAGUCAUAUAUAGGUGACAAUCUUCAAAAAGUCACUGUGCUUUUUAAAGCUUUAAGCUAAGGUCACUACAGAAACAACACUUUAAUGAAAAUUAAAAGCAAUUUUGCUAUAAUGUCAGUAAAA